AAAUUGAUAGAAAAUACUGCCAGAGGAGUAUGUCACAUGGCUGAGACCUAGAUUUCCCAGGUGCCACAUGGUGGUGCUCCUGACUCCACCUUGCUCAGAGGUCUGAGCUAGCUGAGAGGAGUUACAGAAGCAGCAAGAGUACCAAAACUGGUUUGGAGUGAGGGCUAAGAUUCAGUUUUGUAAUGAAGGUGAACCAUGCUGUGGGAUGGGGGAUGUACUUUUUUCCCCAGGACUGAGCUACUAAGUCAGGGAAAAUGCGAAGUCAGAACAAUAGAAGAUAG
rnacentral:lncRNA from 1 species